UCAAAGUUAUCCCCCCAUACGUUUCCUCCUGAAAUCUUUACCACAAUUACGAACCAUCUAGGUUAUAAAAGUCAAAAUUCACUUACCAAUUUUGUUCGAACAAUCGAAUUACCCCUUCAUUUUUUACUUUCUCGUUUUUAUAUUUAUCUUGCAAGAACAAUCAAACAAUGGUGCGAACGGUAAAGAAGGAAUUGAUGGACAAUCGAGCACCAGAAUGCAGAAUGCUACAGUCGAAAUAUCUCACCUUUAAGAAUCAGAUUAGCAGUAAUUUGAUUUCACAUCAUUUUAGUAAUUUCUUUGGUUUUUUUUUCCAUAUUCUUUUUUUUUCAUAUUUGUUUAGUUUGAUUAAUUUGUAUUUAGCGAAGAGAUUAAUGAAAGCGCUUAUUGCAAAAAUCUCUAUAUUUCGUUCUGUUUUGUCUUCAUAUAUUGUAAAAAAUUGUGUGUUUUAAUCUUUAAUUUAAUUUUCUUCCAAAAUGGGUGCUUUUGGGAAGUGGAUAAAAUCACUCGUUGGUCUGAAAAAAUGGGGAUCAAAUGACUCUAUAAGCUAAUAAUCUUUCUAUUAUCUUUAUAUGAUUUUUUUUUUUUUUGAUGUUUUAAGCAAUGAUUUUUAUAUUGAAUUGUGUUGAGCCUAAUAAUCUUUGUAUUAUCUUUAUAUGAUUUUUUUGGUGUUUAAUUAAUGAUUUUUAUAUUGAACUAUGUUGAGCUUAAUUCAUAUCUAAUGAUGUGUUUGGUUGGGCUUAAUAGUUGUUGUUGACUUCUUGUUGCCUUUUUGGUUUAAUGAUUGUUAUUGUUGUGUCGUCCACAAGUUGCUCGCCGAAAAUGCCUGCUCGAUUUGUGCUAGACUGAUAGGGUUCGUCUUGAAACAAGUACGAGCCGCCCACGGGUCGAGUCCCAAUGGUCGAGCUGAUGAUAUCACUGUUUAGCCCGUGCUUCCAAAUUCUUGGAUCUGCCCGUGGACGGAAGAAGUAGGUAUUGAUAUCAGAAACAACAGAGCUGAAUUAGACGUUUUAUUUUCAGAAUUAUAGGUGGCAAAAACAGAGGUGGUUUCCAAUUUCGUUUUACAAGUUAGUUGUCUCAUUUUUAUUUACUUAUGGCAAGAAUAUUGCAAUUCAUUUCUCCUUUCUCUGAACUUUGCUGGUAUAUCUUAGAUCUUUGUCUGAUUAGAAGUUCGCAUUUCCUCGUGUUGAAUAUUAUUGUAUUUGGUUCAAUCUUUGAUGGUUUUCAAUAAGACACUUUGCUUCGGAUGAAUGCUUUCAUAAUUUUAGUGUAUUUUUAGCUGAAGGAACAUUAAUUUACGAAUGGUACAUUAAUUUUCUGUACAGAAUGCAAAAGAACUUGUAUGUAUUAGAUCAAUUUAGAAACUUGAAACCAUGAACAAAGAUUCAUAUCAGUGAUUCCGCUCGUAAGUCGGAAAUUUCUCCUAAUUUCAAGGGAUCUUACAGAUUGAUCAGUAAUUGGUCAAUCUAGAUAGUGGCUGCACGAAAUAAGACUGUUACUUAACCAAGUCAGAAGAUCUUUUUAUCUUUAUGAAUACGAUCACUUAAUAUUUCUUAGUUAUGACACCUGUCUUUGAUGCUUUUACAGGAGUACGAACAUGCUUACUCAUGUUCUUGAAUUGAGGCCGUUGACAUGUCGAAUGAUUUUCUUCUAACGAGAAGGCAGGUGAUUGUUAAAGAAUUAGCGUGUGAAUUAUCAAGACUGCACAGCACAAAAUCUGGCCUGUGGAGCAUGAGAUUUAGCCGAUCUUCCCCCACCACCAAG
rnacentral:lncRNA from 1 species